GUAUUGUUAAACCAAACUGACUAAGAGGUCUUUCUGAAGCCUUGAAUUUGUGCUUUGGGCCUGUAAGGGUGAGAAAGGUUGUAGGAUCCCUUUGCUCCUUGGUGAACGAUGCGCCUCUGUAGAAGUAGGGAAAGCUGAACGUAUGAAGUACAAGUGUGCAAAGCUGCUUAAAAAUUCAUGAGUGAGAGGGCAGCUGGAGCAGAUUGCCUUGGGGUGAGAAUAUGACUACAGCUUGAGCUAGGACUGGAGUUGUGUGCAGUUCUGCUGAUGUGAUGCUCCAGCAGGACCCUCUCUGACUUGCGAAGCAUCUUCCCUGAGGCAGCCUGAAGUUGGAAGAGGUCUGAAGUUAUUAGCUGGGAGAGGCAACUACCUCCAAUCUGGAGUGGAAGAGUGUGCGGCAGCAGCAGUCAAUAUCACUUUCUGUAAGGUGUCUGUACUGCAAUCAGUCAGUUCUUCAUGGAGAACAGGCCAGAAGUAUUGAAGACCUGCAGCCCUGUGUCAACAGGAACACACUUUUAAACCCUG
ensembl:lncRNA